rnacentral:rRNA from 1 species
ACUACGGGCGGCAGCAGUGAGGAAUAUUGGUCAAUGGCCGCAGGGCUGAACCAGCCAAGUCGCGUGAGGGAUGACGGUCCUAUGGAUUGUAAACCUCUUUUGUCAGGGAGCAAAGGGCGCCACGUGUGGCGCUUUGCGUGUACCUGAAGAAAAAGCAUCGGCUAACUCCGUGCCCGCCGCCGCGGUAAUACGGAGGCUGCGCGCGUUAUCCGGAUUUAUUGGGUUUAAAGGGUGCGUGGGCGGAAGGUUAAGUCCGCGGUAAAAGUUCGGGGCUAAACCCCGUCGUUCCGUUGAAACUGGCGUUCUUGAGUGAGCUAGAAGUAUGCGGAAUGCGUGGUGUAGCGGUGAAAUGCAUAGAUAUCACGCAGAACUCCGAUUGCGAAGGCAGCAUACCGGCGCUCAACUGACGCUCAUGCACGAAAGUGUGGGUAUCGAACAGGAUUAGAUACCCUAGUAGUC